ACAGAAACAGAAGCCAUCAGCUGAUGCCAUCAACACACCGUGCAGCCCCAGCGUCAGGGCUCAGAAGCAACACUCAAUCCCUCCCUAACCAUUAGUGCGUCUCUCAACAUCAUCACUCGUGCACCCAUCCGGAGGAGAAUACCUUCACACCGAGUGUUUCUAUCUUCAAGAAGAACGUUGGUUGGAAAUGCUAUGCUUCAAGAGACACGACUCUUACAGCACCUUCGUCAGCGGCCUGUGACCGCCAGGGACCAAAGAGCUGGAGCUCAACCCCCGCAAGUACAACCAGGUUUUCCUAAGUAAACAAAAGAGGCAGAGCUGACCACAACACGGGACGGUGUCAAAGCGGAACUGCGCAGAGGAAGCCAUUAUGGGUGAAGGACGUCCACUCAGGUUACGGAAUGAUUGAGGGCCACAGGACUAACAAUGCAAACCUGACAUGACAGGGCUGAUCUCAUUGAAACAUUUAAUAUGCUGAACAAAUUGAAGAAUAAUGAUCUAGACCGCUUUUUCGAAGGACAGAUAUAACACAAACAAGGAGCAAUGGUUUCAAGCUCAAUAAGCCAGUGUAGGACAGAAAACAGAUGCUUUUCACCCAUAGUUAUAAUUCCAAGGAACUGCCUACUACCAAACCACUGCUGAAUAUCAAACUCCAGCUAGACAGAAUCAUCAGGACAAAUGAGGGGGUCUUCGACAAGUCACCGGCUUCCUCUUCCCGUUGAGACCACUAAAGAGAUAAUGGCCUUCUGGUAAAUCAGUUUCAGGUUGUGAGACAGAUGCUCCUAGAAGAACAGAAGAUCCAAAAGGCCAAGACAACUCCAGAGACAAUCACCUGUAAAAGAAAAAUAAACAUUAAACAGGGA